rnacentral:misc_RNA from 1 species
UUUCCGUGGGUGAACCAGCGGAGGGAUCAUUACAGAGUUGCAAAACUCUCAUACUGUUGUGAACGUCACCUAUCCCGUUGCUUCGUCGAGCGGCACGGGCCCCGUGCUCGGCGCCCCCCGGCCCCCCGUGGGCGCCCGCCGGAGGUAAACCAAACCCUUGAAUUGUCUGGCCUCUCUGAGUCCUCUGUACUGAAUAAGUCACAACUUUCAGCAACGGAUCUCUUGGUUCUC